UGGGGAAUAUUGCACAAUGGGGGAAACCCUGAUGCAGCAACGCCGCGUGGAGGAUGACACAUUUCGGUGCGUAAACUCCUUUUAUAUGGGAAGAUAAUGACGGUACCAUAUGAAUAAGCACCGGCUAACUCCGUGCCAGCAGCCGCGGUAAUACGGAGGGUGCAAGCGUUACUCGGAAUCACUGGGCGUAAAGCGCGCGCAGGCGGUCUUUUAAGUUGGAUGUGAAAGCCUACGGCUCAACCGUAGAACUGCAUCCAAAACUAUUAGACUAGAGUGUGGGAGAGGAAGAUGGAAUUAGUUGUGUAGGGGUAAAAUCCGUAGAGAUAACUAGGAAUACCAAAAGCGAAGGCAAUCUUCUGGAACACUACUGACGCUGAGGCGCGAAAGCGUGGGGAGCAAACA
rnacentral:rRNA from 1 species